rnacentral:misc_RNA from 1 species
UAAUACUGAAAAUACUGAAUACUGAAAAUCUACAAUAUAUGUGACGUAAACUAUGGAUUUUCAGUACUGGCAGCAACUGGCAGUGAAUAUCGGAACGCAGCCUAAAUCAGAAUGUGUCCACGAUCCGAGAACGGUCCAAGUUGGAUGCCAAAUAUAAAAACUACUAGAAAAUUAUUUCAAAUGUUAGUAAUUUUGGUUACACAUUUUCAAACAAACUGCGCCUUUUCGAUCUUUUUUUUCGAUUCCUAAUGGUAUAUCCACACAAACUUGCAUAAGCAUAUGCAUAAGGAAUUCGAUUGGUCUACUUUCUUAUGUAAGUGCUUGUAGACCAAUCAAUUUUCUUAUGUAUAUGCUUAUGCGCUUAUGCAAGUUGUGUGGAUAUUACCAUAAGUAAAGAAUCGAUUUUCAAGAAAAUUGAAUAGUAAAGAAUCGAUUUAAAAAAUCGAUUUUUUUCAUAAAAAAAUCGAUCUUUUGAUGAGUCGAAUCGGAAUCGAACAUCUCUAACCCUAUCAGUCUGGCACUCCGGCUGUACCUCAGUUUGUUUACCUGUGCAUUUAUAUUUAAAAAUGUCGUGUUGGAUACGUGGAUGUACUACAAAAAGUGGAAAAAAAGAUGCUUCUAAAAAGAAAAGCCUUUUUACAGCUUGCACGGAAAAAAUGUUUAAUAAUUGGCGUGAUAGUGAAAUUGCUGCAAGAGGUAUUAAUACUUUUAGCAAAACGAGCCGCAUCUGUGAGUUGCAUUUUCAGAAAGAUGAUAUUAUCAAAGAAGAUAUCUUUUAUAUGGCAGACGGUACAACUAUUACGGUGCAACGUAAGAUACCGAAGUUGAAAGAGGAUGCUGUUCCAUCUAUUUUUCCAUCAGUGAUUAUGUACUAUAAUGUAUUAAACCCCAUUAACAAGGAGAAAUUAAAAGAACAAAAUGAAGGAACAAGAAUUACAGACCAAUUAAAGAAUACUGUUAAUUGUUUCGUUUCCGUGCCACCAUGUGAAUCAAAGAAUCAUAUUUCACACCACGAACAAAAUUAUACAAAUGAAGAUAACGAGUUGCAAACAUGGAUUGAAAUUAAGAAGAAUUUUAAAAGUCUUACUCUUACAUCAGAAUACUGCAUCCCCGUAAUUACGGAUGAGAUGGCAAUGUGGACUUAUUGGAAAGAAGACUUGUCAUCCUGCAUGUGGCGUGUUAUACUUAAAAAAAACAUGAUACUUUGGGUUUAUGUUGGAGAAAGACAAAUUGACUCUCUAUGUGGGAAAAUAAAAAAUAUAGGUGGUAUUCAGAAUAUUUUUCAAAAAUUAUCCAAUGUCAAACCAUGUAAAGAAGUUGGCAAUAAAACCUGUUCAAAAUUGUGUGUUGGAUACUUGAUAGGAGAUAGUACGGUAUAUAAUGUGCAGUGCCAAAGAUGUUUACCAUGUGCAAAACAUUAUAAAGAUAUACUUAAAACAUCAAAGAUGCCCACGCUGCAGCAAAAAUUGUCAAAAAAUGGUCAAUCUCUCCAUGUGAAAGGUACAUAUAAAAAAGUCAGUAAAAUGUAUAAGAAAGAAAUGCGCUCAGGGAAAUGCACAGGCAGUGGAAGAUGCUAUAUGAAAAUUACCCAUUAAUUAGCAGUUGUCUGUGCAAACAUGUCUAACAACUUCUAAAGUAAAAAAUAAUAAAAUAAAGUGUAUAAGAUACACCACAGUGGGUAUAUAAAUGUUUGUCAUUGCGGAUUAAAAGCAGUAAUUAAAGGUUGCUACAGAUUUCAAGAAAAUACGUUUUUAAAGUAUUAAAAGAAAAAGUUCAAAAAUGAAACUAUCUAAUGUGCGUGCCAUUUUGCUGUUAGAUGAGAUAAAAGUUUCCAAAACAAUCGCAUUUAAUCGUAACAACUUUCAAUUUGAGGGUUCUACGAAUUUGGGAAAAUACACUCCAAAACUCGAUUGUACAAAAAAUGACAAGGUUACGCACAAAAUUAUACGAUUUUUCCUAAUCACAAGAAUGUUUUUUCUCGACAAACAAAAAUAAUAACAUUGAAAAAGAGCAAACAAAAGAAAGGAGAAAAUGUUCUAAGCUGAACCAGGCGAGUGAUGGAUAUUGCUACAAUAUGCAAUUUUCAAUGUCAAUCUGCAUCUGCUACCGCCAGGAAAUGCAUCUGUUAUCAUCGUAAAAGUAAAAUUUGCUAGGAAAAGAAAAUGCCAAAAACAACAAGCAAUAAUAAAUAAAAA